rnacentral:sRNA from 1 species
CUGAAAUCGCAGAAGUCGAGCAUCGCCUUCCACGA